AUGUUUGUAGUGUAAUGGUUAGCAUGGAUGCCUUAAAAACAUUCGACGGAGGUUCCAUUCCCCACAAACGCA
rnacentral:tRNA from 1 species